rnacentral:lncRNA from 1 species
AGUAAAAGGGACAAUUUAUGAUAUUCAUAAACAAUAUAUAAUUCCAUUACAUAGAAGUUAUUAGUAGUAAUUGCAAACAUAAUAGAGCUGCGGGCUACAAUUUUGUCCUAAUUUUGAUCCUUCUGCAGCCGCAUCAGCCUCUAUAUAUCCCAUUUCACCUUUUGGCUGGCUUUAACUUUCUUAUAAUCAUUACUAAAAUGUAAAACGAAACUGCUUUCCCCUAUACCUAAAAUUUAUCCCGUUAAAAAAGAGAAAAAUUGGAGGUGGGGAAAAUGGUAUACUUAGUAUAUGAAACUAAAGAAAGUAAUUUUUUUUAAUUUUAUUUGUUUUUUUGUAAAUGAUAGUAUUCGGAUCAAUAUUUUAAGUUAAACUCGGAAAUUUUUGGCCUCAUAAGUCUGACCGAACUGCCAAUUAGAUGGUGCCACGUUGUAUGUGGUAACAUAGCGAUGGUCACUGGCUUUGACUUUAAAUGAGAGAGCUUGACCAACAAGCUGAGCAUUGGAUUGCCAGUUUUGGCCAGACCACUUAGAGCAAUGGUAAAUUUAUCUCUGUGCAACCUAUAGUUUACGGGAGAGAGCUUGACCAACUAGCUGAGCAUUGGAUUGCCAGUUUUGGCCCCAAUUACGACUCAUAGCCAUCCAUUUUGUGUUUGUACCUUUUAC